CAGGGUUGCAAGACUCCCUAAACCAUUGUGAACCUACCUUCUACCGUUGCUUCGGCGGGCGGGCCCAGCGCCCCCCCCGGCCCCCCGCGGGCGCCCGCCGGAGGAUACCCAAACUCUUGACAUUAGUGGCCUCUCUGAGUAUUCUUUACUGAAUAAGUCA
rnacentral:misc_RNA from 1 species